UCUCUCUCUCCAUGUCUUCUCUCUCUCUCCAUGUCUUCUCCGCUCUCUCCUCUCGCCCUUUCCAAUCUUUUAACGCUCCUCUCGCUUCUUGUCCCCCCUUCCUCUCUCCCCUGUCUCCCCUCUCCCCACCAUAUCCCUCUCCGCUCCCUUCUCCCCCGUCUCCAUCUAUGCUUUCUCCUCUCUUACCCUAUCUCCCCCCCCCCGUGUCACCCCCUCCUCCCCCGUGUCUGCCAUCUCCCGUCUAUUGCCCUCUCUCCCUCGCUCUCUCCCCUCUCUCCCUUGAGACAUCAAUGCCGAGCGAGACGCGGCGAGGCUGCGUGUCGACGCCUUUCGCGUCUCGGCUCCGUGAGCCUGGGCGCCGAGCGAGACGCACGGGGACACGCGAGGAGACGCACGGAGACACGCGAGCGAGACACGGGGACACAGAGGCACUCGGACAAGAACACACACUGGACGGCCUUAUCCGUGCAAGUUGCAUCUCCGAUUAGCGCGUUCGGCUACGUGCUAAGAGUGCGAAAGAAUUUCAACGUGCAUGCAUCACAACGGUGUACGAUCUACAACGCGCGGAGGUGCUGCGUUGUGUCGUGGCGCUUCCAGCCAAUUGAUAGUGGAGCGAUCGAUGGACGUGGCAUGAAACGGGUACACCCUGAGAACCGCCACGCGUGCCUCGGUGGGACAUCACUCGGUCCCAUACGCAGCGGUGCAGGCAGGGAUUAGUCCACACUUGCUGUUCCGCCUGCUCCUGGCAAGCCAGCGUACGGCAGGCACCUCCAUCGAGGCCCACGGGAAGGGAGCUUCGCUCUCAUCUGCGUGUGAACCACCAACCCUUGCUGCUGCUGCUGCAUCGACAGCGCUGGGGUUUGUCGCUUGGCCACGUGGCAGUGCUGUGUUGUGAGCGUGUCGUGGACAUUCGACUCGUCGCUAAUCACGCGCACGCAGCUUCCAACACGGUGAUUGGUGCGUGCCCGCCCGCGCACGUGCUCCUGGGGGGCUCGUGAAAGGGGGGCUCAAGAGAGAGAGAGAGAGAGACACGGAGAGGAGUCGUCGAGUCAAUGCUCAUGUCGAGAAACAUUGGAUGGCCACAUUAUUAAUUUGUUUGCGUGGUUUUGUUCACACACACACACGAAAUGACAGGCAAGGGGUUGAGUGGUUUCACUCAUAGGGCAAGAUCAAGUUCUGCCUUGCUUGAAGUCUGAUGAUCGUCACUCACGACUCGAUAUCCGUGUCGUUCGCCUCCGAGUGCGACGCCGAAGCCGUUAGAAAGCGAGCGAACAAAGACCGCUUUACUUGUCACGAGUUGUUUGUAUCUACAGUAGAGUGAUCGUGGCUUGCUGAUGAUCGCUAAUAAACGUGGGGGGAAAAAAACCUUG